rnacentral:snRNA from 1 species
CAACGUUAGGGAGUCCGG